UACAGAGGGUGCGAGCGUUAAUCGGAAUUACUGGGCGUAAAGCGCGCGUAGGCGGUUUUGUAAGUCGGGUGUGAAAUCCCCAAGCUUAACUUGGGAACUGCAUUCGAGACUGCAUAGCUAGAGUAUGGGAGAGGGAAGUGGAAUUUCAGGUGUAGCGGUGAAAUGCGUAGAUAUCUGAAGGAACAUCAGUGGCGAAAGCGACUUCCUGGAUCAAUACUGACGCUCAUGUGCGAAAGCGUGGGGAGCAAACAGG
rnacentral:rRNA from 1 species